UUAACACAUGCAAGUCGAGCGGCAUCGCGUCGAUAGCAAUGCUAUUGCUGGUGGCGACCGGCGCACGGGUGAGUAACGCGUAUCCAACCUUCCGUUUACUAGAGAAUAGCCCGGCGAAAGUCGGAUUAAUACCCUAUGUUAUUCGUCGAGGACAUGUGAUUUGUACCAAAGGUUUACCGGUAAGGGAUCGGGAUGCGCUUCAUUAGGUUGUAGGUGGGGUAAUGGCUACUGAGCCUACGAUGGAUAGGGGUUCUGAGAGGAUCAACGCCCACAUUGGAACUGAGACACGGCCCAAACUCCUACGGGAGGCAGCAGUGAGGAAUAUUGGUCAAUGGCCGGAAGGCUGAACCAGCCAAGUAGCGUGCAGGAAGACGGCCUUAUGGGUUGUAAACGGCUUUUAUGCGGGGAUAAUAAGGUCCACGUGUCAUUACUUGCAUGUACCAUAAGAAUAAGCACCGGCUAACUGCGUGCCAGCAGCCGCGUACGGAGG
rnacentral:rRNA from 1 species